UACGUAGGGUGCAAGCGUUAAUCGGAAUUACUGGGCGUAAAGCGUGCGCAGGCGGUUUUGUAAGUCUGUCGUGAAAGCCCCGGGCUCAACCUGGGAAUUUGCGAUGGAGACUGCAAGGCUUGAAUCUGGCAGAGGGGGGUAGAAUUCCACGUGUAGCAGUGAAAUGCGUAGAGAUGUGGAGGAAUACCGAUGGCGAAGGCAGCCCCCUGGGCCAAUACUGACGCUCAUGCACGAAAGCGUGGGGAGCAAACAGG
rnacentral:rRNA from 1 species